AUUCCGUGUAUAUUUUUUCACACUUUCCCCUGCAUAAUUAAUCUUUAUUAAGGGUUACUCCAAGAGUUACAAUUUAAAUGCACUAUCAGGCUGACCAUUGAAUUAUUUCACUGCAAAUGGAUCUAAAUUAUUAUCAUGUGAAUAAAAAACAGAGUCAAAAAGAUUUGCAAAUUGCUUAUUAACCUCAAUCAAGUUGGAAGCAUGUUUCAAUGAUUGAUAAUUGAGUGAAUUAACUAUUUACCAAAUUAAUUUUGUAAAGGUUGAACAGAGUUAAGCCUCAACAAUUAACUGAAAAGUAAAACGAAAAGCUGAUAACCUUGGAUUCAUUUUUGCAUUCAAGUUAAUCAACAAAUUAACCAGUUUUUACACCAAAAAACAAUGUUUUUUCUGGUAAAAGUGUGAAAAAUGUUCGUUUUUGAUGAUUGAGUAUUGCUUUCAAUUAAAGAAGAUUCUGUUUUAAAACUCAAAACAACAACAAAAUUAUUACUUGAGCCAUAUAACGAGGCUCCCAUUAAUUUAAAUAGUAAUUAAAGUGUCUCAACAAUUUAGCUCUUGUUAUAUCUGCAUCAAUGUGUACUGUAAAUCAAUUCUUAUCAUUUUGAAGAGUAGAUGAAUUUUGUUCCGGGAUGAUGAUUACAAUCAAUUGAAUUGUAUUAGAGACUGAUUCAUACACAUUCACAGUCAUAACAACUUUUUGAGUUAACUAGAUUAAAAUGUAACCAAGCAAUUUGAACAGCAAAUUGUCUUUUAAUGGCAGACUGAUCAAUUAUCUUGUUAAAUAUUGCUGAUCCUGUGAACAAUAAAGACAUGUUUUACAUUUGAUUAUGUGCAUUUAAUUGUCUAACAAUUGUUGUAAAUCAAUUAUGUCUUGCUUUUUUAAUGGCAAAGGUUCGUCUUCAUUUCGCCAUUCAGUUUUUUUUUCCUUGUUCAUUCCUUCAAUCAUUCCAACUAUUUCGCUGUUUUACAACUAAUAGCAAUUGAAUAAACAAUAAUAAUCAUUGUACUAAUAAGAAGUAUGAUUUAUAUUGAUUAAGAUUUAAGCUAAUGAUGAGCCAAAUAAAAAAAACUUACAUUUGAUGACAAUUUAAAUUGUUUGGGUUUGUACAAAAUGUAAUUUAUGUUGUUUCCCCAGGAAUUGAAGGUAAAAAAGCGGGAGAUGAGCAAUUGUGCUUUUUGGUAACCAAGCUAAACCAAACAAUAACCAUCAAUUAUAGUGAUACUAUCUGUUUAAUUGAGUCUGUUUUAUUUUAUUAUUGUCUAAUUAAUUUACAUUUUAAUCGACAUUACAGUAAAUUUUCUAGUGCAAUCACAAUUAACCCAAAUAAAAUCAAUCCUAUCCACCAAAGUCUGCUUAAACAAGAUGCUUAUGGUUCACCACUUGAUGAUUGUUACCCUUGAAAGUGUCAAUGAUCAUCUAGUUGCAAUUGUUUCCAGUUAUGAAGACAACAAUCAACAAUUGCUGAUCUAAUGCUGGUUUGCCAAAAAUGGCUAUAAAGUAUUGUGUAAAAUGUAUACACUUGUCUUUAUGCUUUGUUUUGGAAUCGUGAUUGUAUUUUUUUAUCAUCAUAAUAUGGUUACUUUGGAUUAACACUUCAAGAUGUUGAAUAUUAAAGGAUUAAAGCUUUUGAUUGCGGGCCUUGAAUUCAAGAAAUGAACAAAAAGCAAGAGUUUGCCAGAGAUGCAUACAGAGUAUUGUCCAGUGCAAGGGAUGGAAAACUUGGUGAAAGAGGUGAAACUUUCACUGACAAGCAAUCAUCAUAUGAAUUUAUAAUGGUAAUCAAAUGUUAAAUUUUGGAUUUCCUUUCAAUAGGAGAUUGAAAUUUCAUGCCUAUUAUUGUUAUAACGGGUUAAGGAACCUUCUAAUUCUUCAAAAUCCUUGGAGCUGAAGCUAACUCGCCUACGGAUAUAAUGAUAGUUGUCAUCAACAUUCCUCAUUAUUUCUUUAUUAUAAUCAUUAUAACAAAAGGCAAGAUAAUGCUUGGACUCACUAAAGUAGUUGAGGUAGAUUGUGAUGGUGAUGAUGAUGAAAAGGUUUUAAUCUUGAAAAUUGUUUCCAUCUUAGAUUGCAACUUUGAAUGGUGUUCAUCAUGAUGAUUGCUGCUACCUAAAUUAGUCAUUAAACAUUGUUUAAUAGAACUAUGACUCGUCUCUGAAUCAUAAUCCGACAAUUGGCUAAUGAACAUAUACGAACUGCUGAUUUAUGUUUUGACUCAUUUAUAACCAAUUAAUAUUACCGAUCUUCAAAUAUGCCGUUCAAAUACCGUACUGUUAAGUCGUAAUGGUCAAGUAAUUGUGCCAAUCUAGCUUGAGAAAGUAAAACUGUUUCGAUUGCUGCAAUUAAACUGUAGAGGGGAUGAUCCUGAUCAAGCUAAUUCUACUAUCAAAUUCAGCGAUUUAUUAAACCUUUAAAAUAGUGAUUGAGCUAGUUUAGCAUCAGUUUUUUGGCCUUAAACCUUUUACACUUGUAAAAUUAAUUGAUUUAAUUGUAUUUCUAUUUCUGGUAAUUUGACUUUUUAUUGUAAAGCAGCACCUGAUCUUUCUUAAUCAACUGGUAUUGCUGAUGUUUAGGUGAAAAGUCAGUUAUCCCGAAAAGAUGUUCCUUUCAACAAUUGUAACUCCUUUUAAUGGCAAUUUGUUUCAAUGUAUUUUUGUAUUGUAAUAGCAUAAUUGAUUCUCUUUAGCCUUUAAAUCAUUAGUUGAGAUUAACCUUUACUUUGCUAAAUGUUUACUAUUAAAAGAUGAAAAGUUCAAA